UAGAAUGUCUUGUGUAGAAAAAAAGUGCUUUCUUUUGGUAAUUUUAAAUAUAUUGCCUGCUAAUUUCAUUUUCAGUUGAUACUUUUUGUGUCUUGACACAAUCACAAUGAAUUUACCUUUCCCCAAUAAUUUGUAAUAUUUGAGACCGUUAACAAGUUACUAUGUUUCUGUCCAGGCUACAGAAGUUCAUUCUAUUUCAUUACUUCUUGUAGAGAAGCUGUUUGAUUCUUCUGCUGUUUGUGUUACUCUUUUGUUCACGCUCUUCACGUUCUAUUGUACCACUACUAAGAGGGGGUGACCAACACCACUAACAAUAAGCGAGGUGCCAGUUAGCUUUAGUUGUGCAGUAUCACAGCAAAAUCUGCUUUUUUCAUUAGUUGCCAAGAGUAUUGUGACAUUUGCUGAACUUCAGAUGUCUGAUAUCACCGUAGGGUUGCAGACGAUUUCUCAAGCACCUCUGCUUUCAUCUCUCCUAAAAACUCUUGUCUGCUAUAAAUCUUCCACCCUCCUUUCCUAAACCACUCAUUCUUCUGAAUGUUACUUGUUCAAAGAAGCUCAAACUGGUAACUCUCUAUUCACUCUGACUUCCAUGUCCUCCUACCUUUUUAACAACUACGGGAAAACCUCUCACCCUCUAAUUGCUACAAAAAACUAAAAGCCUUAGGCAAAAAAAACUUGUUGAAAGGUUUGUAACAAUCCAUACAGACCAUAUCAACUUACAUAAAGUCCAGUAGAUUCUCACAAUUUUGAAUCUGUGACUCAGCCCCCGAAUUACUCUCCCAAAAUACAUUGAAAUUAUGCAUAUUUUAGUUUCCCUGUAACCUGCUUGAUAUGGCAGUCCCUAUUUUCUCAGGCCGGUCUUGCUACCCUCCUCCUGUCUAGUUUUGUGACUCUCUUGUGCCGUAAGAACACUGCACAACAGGCAAGUUUAAUUACCUCAUGCUUGAGCUCCUCUAGAAUUUAGUAAAUGCUUCCAUGUCUUCUAACUUAACACUGGUCAGUUUAUCAGACUUACUGACAUGCCAGUCAGAGGGUGAACCUGGGGAAUUGUAUCCAUAAAGAUCCCUACCCCCUUUCCCAUUUCCACAGCAAACUGCCUCAGCCUUGCCUUCCAUGGAUGCCGGCAGCAGGUGUUAAAACCCGACACCAUUUGUCCUACAACAAGCAGAGCCGCCGUGAUCUCUCUAUGGAUCAACUUUCUGAUUUGCCCACAGAAACAUAUCACAUUUUUUAGCGUGACAUGGAAACAAGAAAAUAUUUCCUUCAGCAUUUCCAUUUGCAUUUACGGAUCACGCCAAGAUUCGCUGCUCCGAGGCCAAAACAACCGCGGAGAAGCAGAGCCGACGGAGCUCCCAGCGCCCCGUGACCGCGGCGCCCCGUGCACAGGCGGGCACGGUCACGGCUGCGGUCGGUCCCGGAGCUCGGUCACCGCCUGUUCCACGGCCACUGACAACGCGUGAAACCGAACAGCUCCUCGGCUCGCUUCAUCCGCCAGCACGGCCGGAGUCUGUUAUGUUCGAAGCGAUGGUUUAAGGAGUGAAAUUACAUACACCAAGUCUCAUACCAAUUAAGACUUUAACCACUAAUUGCCAAGAAUAAAAGAAAAGCAACCUGAAGUGGAAAUAAGACAGCUUACAUCACGUCCAGCUUCACCAGGAGCACCAUUUGGACCAGGAGAACCCACAGGACCAGAAGGACCACGGGCACCAGGAGGACCAGAAACACCCAGGGGACCAGGUUCACCCUAAUAUAGGAACAGUGAGAUGCCUGGAAGACCACGUUCUCCCCGAGAACCAGGCAGACCAAGAAUACCAGGAGCACCAAGAAUACCCUGAGGACCUGGGGUACCAGGAGGACCCUGUGAUGUGAAG